GCGCCGGUGGUGUAAGGCGAACAUCGCUGCCCGUAAAGCAGAAGGAAGAUGCGGGUUCGAGUCCCGCCUGGCGCA
rnacentral:tRNA from 1 species